GAGAUGGACCUGCAAAUUGGAGUUUAUAUCGAUAAGAAAUUUCAGUAGUUACACGAGCAAAUGAACCCAACUGCUACGACCAAAGUCGAAAUGGUAGUCAGACUCGAUUUGAAACCACGAACCACAAUUCAAACCCUCGACGGACAAUGACGACCUCAAACCGACCUCGGAUUAAACUAAAACCAACAAACAACAGAGUAACGACUACCAAACAAGGGCCUAAAGAAGAAGAAUGAUGUUCGGCUUCCAAACAAACGAAAAAUCAGCAACGGAAACAUCAAAAAGAGCUAAAAUUCCAGCAACAGCCUUGAUUUUAAACCCAAAAGAAACUGAAAACCCAGAACUAAUUUCAAACUAUUUUCAUUUUUUCUCGUUCCCAGAUUCUGUCCCGUUUUCCUGAUCCCUGCCUCUGUUUUUUUGAUAAUGUGCAUGUGUGUGUGUGUUAACGGGAGACGAGGGAACUUGGAGGAGUCGUUGGUCCGUUGAGGGUGUUCGCCGACGAUUUUGAAAGGUGAAGAAGGUGAGGUCGCAACUGAUUUGGUUCUGUUGUUGGGCGUGGAGGAUAUGGAGAUCAGGGGUCGUUGGUUGAAGAGUGACCGACGACGAGAAUGAUGGUGUGACGCUAAUUUCCGGCGGUUUUCUUUGGUAAGGGAGGUGUUCAGUUGAAUAUGGAGAUGGAGAGCAGGGUCGUUCGUUGGGAUUGCUCUCUUCUCGUUGGUGUUUUUGAAGUGAGGGAGCGGCAGAUUUUGAGAGGAGGGAGUGGGGUGAUGGCUGGAAAAUGGGGUUCUAGGGUUUUUUGUUGUAGUGUCUAGAUGAAGAAGAAGAAGAAGAAGGCAGCCAUGGGUGUCCUCUGAGUUCUGCGGCUGGUCUCUUCUUUUUUGGGUAAGGAUUGUUUUUAGGUUUUUUUUUAAAUGUGAGAUCAAGGGGUCUUUAGUUGGGGGUAUGGGCUUAUGGGUUAGAGAAGAAAGAAAUUAGGCUUGGCCAAAUUUUUGGGCCAACUUUUGUCUAAAGAAUGACCGUCUCUUGGACCUUCUUUUGAUUUUAAAACCAAAACCAUGUCAUCUUAAAAUUAAUUUGGUUUUUGUUCUUAGAAAAGAACAAAUUAAAAAUACAACUAUUACUAAUUUAUGCUAGUUAAGUAAAUAAUUAUAAUGCAAAAAUACUAAAGUUACACAUUGAGGUAACAAAUAAAAUUAUUUUUGUAUUUUUAAAUUUUAUAAAAGGUAAAUAAAUUGAAAGUAACAAGAUAAAAUAUCAAUUACCUAAAAAAAGAAAAUAUUUUUUUUGUAAUUUUUAUUUUGUGACAAAUGAAGUAAAAGAGUCACAGCUAAUUGAAAUAGCGAUAUUAGGCCUAAACUAAAUAUUUAAAUACUAAAAUAUGUAAUAUCUUGGGGAGGGUCAAAAAUCACAUGUCUACACUUACUAAGUACCGUUGUGGUGUACUCAUGCCCCUUCUACGCAUGUUUUUCAUGUGCAGAUCCAGGUACUACGACUCAGUCCUAUCACCCUUGAGGCGAGGCGACUGCUCCGGCGACUUCGAGGUAUAUCUGCCGCGUCCGCAAACCGAGGAGUCCCUUUCUAUUCUAGCUUUUAAACAUUUACCCUUCUGUAUUUCUUUUCCUUGUUAGAUGUUCUAGAGUUAGAGUACUGUGUAGUGAUCCUUAGCUUGUGAUUCAUGAAUUUCU
rnacentral:lncRNA from 1 species